ACGAACUGAAUUUUCGGUACGUGCAAAUACGAAAGCAAUCACUUUUCAUUCCUCCACACAAACAAAAGCAUCAACAUAUAUCGAUUCACGGAACAAGUGUGCUUGAAAAUGUUGCUACUCGCUGCAGUUCUCUGAUGUGUAAACACAAAUGUGAGUGUGUGGGCCGUUCUCAAAUUCAUACAUGUUGUUGUAAUUUCAACCAAAACCCACCCCUUUGAAAUUUAUAAAUAAUAAAACACAAAACUAGUUUAAAAGAAUUAAUGCAGCUUUUAUUUUUUAGAAACAGGACCAGGAAUAAUGCGAGACGGACUCCCAGAUCGGUAGAUGAUGAUGGCACCUGCUUGGUACCAGUAGAUGGACCCUCAGUUGAUCUGUCCGUCCGUUUAUUGUCUUUUUAUCUCGGUGGCGAUUUAUGUAAAAAUAUACAUAAGCAUGUAUUUUUUUCUUAGCUUCUCUUGCAUUAGAGACAGCACAAUCGGCCUCACUAUUGGGACACUACCCCCACUUUAAACCUACGACAAAGCUACAUACCUAAGCUGAGCUCAACCUGAGACGCCUUGGGCACCUUUUAUACAAAAGUAAAAAAAGGCUGAAACAAAAGGAAAAUAAGGAAGUCAAGUCUGGAGUCCGUUUGUUCGAGGUUAAUGGUAAUUCAACCGUCCGUAUAGGGCUUUACAUGGGGCAUGUCUGUCUGAGCAUGCCAGUUUGCUGCGUCUCCCACGUUGAUUGAAGCGAUGAUGGUGGCUGGACGUGGCCGAAAAUAUACGAUUAUAUUUGUAGUUCAAAUCUUGCUUGUAAUUUUGAGUUUUUGUUUAGCUUGUAAGUUCACGAUUUAUUUAGCUUGUAAGUAUUUGGUUUAUUUAGCUUGUAAGUUUAUGGUUUAUUUAGCUUGUAAGUUUUUGGUUUAUUUAGCUUGUAAGUAUUUGGGUAGUUUAUUUUACUUUGCAGGUUAUUUAGCAAGUAAGUUCAUUUAGCUCUUAAGAUUAAAGUCUCUUUUUUUUAGGUUUCACUUUUUAAUAUUUAGGUUACAAAUUCAAGUUUCAAUGUUUGUUUGGCACACAAUUA